GUCCCCUGGAAGCGGAGGGGUUGAGGAGGAAAGGAAGGUGAGGUGAUCCGCCUCGGAGCUCGUGCGGGCCGCCGCCGUCGCCGUCGCCAUGUCCCGCUACCGCUUGGGAGCCGCCCUGCUGCGGGCGGUGGGCCCAAGGUCGCGUUUCCUGCAGGGGCCAGGCCUCUUUCAGCAAUGGAAGGCUCCCUCAGAAGGACAACCCUGCAGGCAAAUGGCCACCUCUAGUCUUGCAUGGCGCUACAACAAAACUCUCUACACCACCGUGGCAUUGAGCAUCUUUGCAGCUGGAAAUGCGUACUAUGGAUAUGAAAUUUUGAGGAGGGCCCGACAGCGUGAUGUGGACCGUGCAGAGAGGUAUGCGCGCAUGGAUGCCCAGAUCAAGGCACGUCACUAUUAAGGAGCUUGACAGCACCAGAAGUAAUAUCAACUAAAGCCACAUCCAAUUACUCAUCUCCCCUGGCUCUUCACUGUGGUAAAUAAAUCAAUUAAUAUGGGGAAUGUAACUCCAGAAUACAGAAACAGCCAUGAAGAUCAGUUGAGUACUGCAAUCAAAGAUUUGGUGGCAGUUUCCUUACUUUAAGCAUAAAACUUUUCACAGUGACACAGUUAUAUUUAGAAGCAGUGUCAAGUAAUAAAAACAUGUGGAAAGAA